GGAUGUUAUGAUGAUAGGCAAAAAUGUUCAACUGCUCUGAAUUAAGCUGACUGAUAAUAGCCUUUCUGAACAUCC
rnacentral:snoRNA from 1 species